rnacentral:rRNA from 1 species
GAUGAACGCUGGCGGCGUGCCUAAUACAUGCAAGUCGAGCGAACAGACGAGUAGCUUGCUCCUCUGACGUUAGCGGCGGACGGGUGAGUAACACGUGGAUAACCUACCUAUAAGACUGGGAUAACUUCGGGAAACCGGAGCUAAUACCGGAUAAUAUAUUGAACCGCAUGGUUCAAUAGUGAAAGACGGUUUUGCUGUCACUUAUAGAUGGAUCCGCGCCGCAUUAGCUAGUUGGUAAGGUAACGGCUUACCAAGGCAACGAUGCGUAGCCGACCUGGGAGGGUGAUCGGCCACACUGGAACUGAGACACGGUCCAGACUCCUACGGGAGGCAGCAGUAGGGAAUCUUCCGCAAUGGGCGAAAGCUUGACGGAGCAACGCCGCGUGAGUGAUGAAGGUCUUCGGAUCGUAAAACUCUGUUAUUAGGGAAGAACAAAUGUGUAAGUAACUAUGCACGUCUUGACGGUACCUAAUCAGAAAGCCACGGCUAACUACGUG